ACCUUUGCAGUGCAAUUUGGUUCGCAACAGCGAUUAAUAGGGAAUUAGGUGAGAAACCUAAACAGUCCAGCUGCUGUAAGUUGUCAUUGUAGACACAAACAUAUACCACUGAGCAAAGGGCUUGGGAAGGGGUUUGUGGUCAGACAAUAAGUCAGAAUACCUGCCAUUGCUAUACUUCUAUAA
rnacentral:ncRNA from 15 species